rnacentral:rRNA from 1 species
GUGUCAGCAGCCGCGGUAAUACGGAGGGUGCAAGCGUUGUUCGGAAUCACUGGGCGUAAAGCGCGUGUAGGCGGCCCUCUAAGUCCGAUGUGAAAGCCCGGGGCUCACCCCCGGAAGUGCAUUGGAUACUGGAGGGCUGGAGUACCGGAGAGGAGGGUGGAAUUCCUGGUGUAGCGGUGAAAUGCGUAGAUAUCAGGAGGAACACCUGUGGCGAAGGCGGCCCUCUGGACGGAUACUGACGCUGAGACGCGAAAGCGUGGGGAGCAAACAGGAUUAGAUACCCUCGUAGUCC